CAGCCGCCACGGGAAUACAGAGGGUGCGAGCGUUAAUCGGAUUUACUGGGCGUAAAGCGUGCGUAGGCGGCUUCUUAAGUCGGAUGUGAAAUCCCUGAGCUUAACUUAGGAAUUGCAUUCGAUACUGGGAAGCUAGAGUAUGGGAGAGGAUGGUAGAAUUCCAGGUGUAGCGGUGAAAUGCGUAGAGAUCUGGAGGAAUACCGAUGGCGAAGGCAGCCAUCUGGCCUAAUACUGACGCUGAGGUACGAAGCAUGGGGAGCAAACAGGAUUAGAUACCCCUGUAGUCCCUGUCUCUUAUACA
rnacentral:rRNA from 1 species